AAGGAGUCUAACAUGUUUGCGAGUGUUUGGGUGGUAAACCCGAAAGGGUAAAUAAAGUGGAUGGAGGGGGGAUCCGCAAGGAGCACCAUCGACCGAUCUGGAUCUUUUGUGAUGGAUUUGAGUAAGAGCACAUAUGUUAGGACCCGAAAGAUGGUGAACUAUGCCUGAAUAGGGCGAAGCCAGAGGAAACUCUGGUGGAGGCUCGUAGCGAUUCUGACGUGCAAAUCGAUCGUCAAAUUUGGGUAUAGGGGCGAAAGACUAAUCGAACCAUCUAGUAGCUGGUUCCUUC
rnacentral:misc_RNA from 1 species